rnacentral:tRNA from 1 species
GGGAAUGUGGCUUAGUGGUAGAGUGCUUGCCUAGCAUGCAUGAAGCCCUGGGUUCCUCCAUUCCUC